CCGGCGCACGGGUGAGUAACGCGUAUCCAACCUGCCCACCACUUGGGGAGUAACCUUGCGAAAGUAAGACUAAUACCCAAUGAUAUCUCUAGAAGACAUCUGAAAGAGAUUAAAGAUUCAUCGGUGAUGGAUGGGGAUGCGUCUGAUUAGCUUGUUGGCGGGGUAACGGCCCACCAAGGCAACGAUCAGUAGGGGUUCUGAGAGGAAGGUCCCCCACAUUGGAACUGAGACACGGUCCAA
rnacentral:rRNA from 1 species